GGGUUGUGAGGUUAAGCGACUAAGCGUACACGGUGGAUGCCCUGGCAGUCAGAGGCGAUGAAGGACGUGCUAAUCUGCGAAAAGCGCCGGCGAGGUGAUAUGAACCUUUGACCCGGCGAUGUCCGAAUGGGGAAACCCAGUGUGAUUCGUCACACUAUCGUUAACUGAAUACAUAGGUUAACGAGGCGAACCGGGGGAACUGAAACAUCUAAGUACCCCGAGGAAAAGAAAUCAACCGAGAUUCCCCCAGUAGCGGCGAGCGAACGGGGAGCAGCCCAGAGUCUGAAUCAGCUUGUGUGUUAGUGGAAGCGUCUGGAAAGUCGCACGGUACAGGGUGACAGUCCCGUACACGAAAAUGCACAGGUUGUGAACUCGAAGAGUAGGGCGGGACACGUGGUAUCCUGUCUGAAUAUGGGGGGACCAUCCUCCAAGGCUAAAUACUCCUGACUGACCGAUAGUGAACCAGUACCGUGAGGGAAAGGCGAAAAGAACCCCGGCGAGGGGAGUGAAAAAGAACCUGAAACCGUGUACGUACAAGCAGUGGGAGCACCUUCGUGGUGUGACUGCGUACCUUUUGUAUAAUGGGUCAGCGACUUAUAUUCUGUAGCAAGGUUAACCGUAUAGGGGAGCCGAAGGGAAACCGAGUCUUAACUGGGCGUUAAGUUGCAGGGUAUAGACCCGAAACCCGGUGAUCUAGCCAUGGGCAGGUUGAAGGUUGGGUAACACUAACUGGAGGACCGAACCGACUAAUGUUGAAAAAUUAGCGGAUGACUUGUGGCUGGGGGUGAAAGGCCAAUCAAACCGGGAGAUAGCUGGUUCUCCCCGAAAGCUAUUUAGGUAGCGCCUCGUGAACUCAUCUUCGGGGGUAGAGCACUGUUUCGGCUAGGGGGCCAUCCCGGCUUACCAACCCGAUGCAAACUACGAAUACCGAAGAAUGUUAUCACGGGAGACACACGGCGGGUGCUAACGUCCGUCGUGAAGAGGGAAACAACCCAGACCGCCAGCUAAGGUCCCAAAGUCAUGGUUAAGUGGGAAACGAUGUGGGAAGGCACAGACAGCCAGGAUGUUGGCUUAGAAGCAGCCAUCAUUUAAAGAAAGCGUAAUAGCUCACUGGUCGAGUCGGCCUGCGCGGAAGAUGUAACGGGGCUAAACCAUGCACCGAAGCUGCGGCAGCGACACUAUGUGUUGUUGGGUAGGGGAGCGUUCUGUAAGCCGUUGAAGGUGUGCUGUGAGGCAUGCUGGAGGUAUCAGAAGUGCGAAUGCUGACAUAAGUAACGAUAAAGCGGGUGAAAAGCCCGCUCGCCGGAAGACCAAGGGUUCCUGUCCAACGUUAAUCGGGGCAGGGUGAGUCGACCCCUAAGGCGAGGCCGAAAGGCGUAGUCGAUGGGAAACAGGUUAAUAUUCCUGUACUUGGUGUUACUGCGAAGGGGGGACGGAGAAGGCUAUGUUAGCCGGGCGACGGUUGUCCCGGUUUAAGCAUGUAGGCGGAACGAUUAGGUAAAUCCGGUCGUUUAUUAACGCUGAGGUGUGAUGACGAGGCACUACGGUGCUGAAGUAACAAAUGCCCUGCUUCCAGGAAAAGCCUCUAAGCAUCAGGUAACAUCAAAUCGUACCCCAAACCGACACAGGUGGUCAGGUAGAGAAUACCAAGGCGCUUGAGAGAACUCGGGUGAAGGAACUAGGCAAAAUGGUGCCGUAACUUCGGGAGAAGGCACGCUGAUAUGUAGGUGAAGCCCCUGCGGGUGGAGCUGAAAUCAGUCGAAGAUACCAGCUGGCUGCAACUGUUUAUUAAAAACACAGCACUGUGCAAACACGAAAGUGGACGUAUACGGUGUGACGCCUGCCCGGUGCCGGAAGGUUAAUUGAUGGGGUUAGCGGCAACGCGAAGCUCUUGAUCGAAGCCCCGGUAAACGGCGGCCGUAACUAUAACGGUCCUAAGGUAGCGAAAUUCCUUGUCGGGUAAGUUCCGACCUGCACGAAUGGCGUAAUGAUGGCCAGGCUGUCUCCACCCGAGACUCAGUGAAAUUGAACUCGCUGUGAAGAUGCAGUGUACCCGCGGCAAGACGGAAAGACCCCGUGAACCUUUACUAUAGCUUGACACUGAACACUGGUCCUUGAUGUGUAG
rnacentral:rRNA from 1 species